rnacentral:rRNA from 1 species
CAGUAGCCACGGGAAUACAGAGGGUGCAAGCGUUAAUCGGAAUUACUGGGCGUAAAGCGCGCGUAGGUGGUUUGUUAAGUUGGAUGUGAAAGCCCCGGGCUCAACCUGGGAACUGCAUCCAAAACUAGCAAGCUAGAGUACGGUAGAGGGUGGUGGAAUUUCCUGUGUAGCGGUGAAAUGCGUAGAUAUAGGAAGGAACACCAGUGGCGAAGGCGACCACCUGGACUGAUACUGACACUGAGGUGCGAAAGCGUGGGGAGCAAACAGGAUUAGAUACCCCAGUAGUCCCUGUCUCUUAUAA